rnacentral:lncRNA from 1 species
GUGAAGAGGUUAUGAAACAGAGGAAGCAUCUUCAAUUUGGGAUGAAUUGAAUGUUAGAUGACAAAAAAGAAAGGUGAUAAAAUCCUUAUAUUUGCACCGGAACAUUGUAAAAAUGAUUUAGUAGGAAUUCACAUAUUUGUACGUUGAUAGCUUAAUGUAAUAUUAAUGAACUAGUAAUUUGUUACCACACACAUGUAUGUCAGCCAUCUAUUUAUUGUCUUUGGAAAUUCAUCUCAUCAAUAGCAAUCCAUGUAUUGUUUUCAUAUAUCUCGCUCUUUAUCUUGUAGAUUUUUAGUUCAUUUAUUGCUUGAACUUUCAUCUCAAUAGAAAUUCAUGUAUUCUUGUUCUUUCCCCUUUUCAGUGAGUUGAGAGAGGAGGAGGUGGUUUAGAGUAAUGCACAUGUCCACUAUUGAAUGCGAAGCUCUAACAGAAAUCAAAGGUAUACACGACACAAAGUUUGCCUCCUAUCUCUAAAAAAAAAUAGAAAAGUUUUGUUCCCAAUAUGAUUAUCGGAUAUCAGCUUAGCAAUUAUUUUUAUCAGGAUUUGGGUAACAAUAUGCAAGCUAUUACCGCUCUUAGCUCCAUUGGUGAAUGGAAAUUUGCGCUGACAUUCU